AUCGUCUUUUGAUUACAUAUCUAUAAAAGAUAAUGCCUGCCCAGUGAGUAAACUUAAACGGCCGCGUUAGCGUGAGCGUGCUAAGGUAGCGUAAUAAAUAGCCCCUUAAUUGGAGGCCAGUGAAUGGCAAGACUAAGAACAAUUGUACCUUUUAUACCUAAAAAACUUUUCAUCUAAGUGAAAAGACUUAGAUAAUUAUGGCAGACGAAAAGACCCCGCGGAACUUUACCUUAUCCAAUUCAAUGCCCAGCAAGCACAAUAAAUGAGAGGUUUGAUUGGGGCAAUCUUGGAACCAACAAAGCUUCCAACUUUCUUAAAAAACAUAUAAAAUUAGGUAAAGACAAAAAAGAAGUUACCCCGGGGAUAACAGCGUAAUCCAACUUGAGAGCACACAUCGAAAGCUGGGUUUGCGACCUCGAUGUUGGCUUAAGGAUAUCCACAUUAGUGCAACCGCUAUGACAGGACAGUCUGUUCGACUAUUUCACCCUUACAU
rnacentral:rRNA from 1 species